UCCAUCUUUUCUUUCCGUCGGCGCCUGCUUUCUUUGGAACGAUCCAGAGAGGAGAAUUGUAGGGUAACGUUGAGGGCUGGAUGACUUCAUUCUUUAAGAGCUCACUUAUUUAUUUAUUUAUUUCUUCCUUAUGUAUGGGAGGGAAGCGAUACUGGCGUACGGAAACUGCCGUCGAAUCUACUGUUUCUAUUUUGUGUGUUAUAGUGUUGGUAAGCGUAAAUUUAUCUCCCGGUAAAUGGAAUAAGCCCAACGAUUCUUUUAUCAUAUGUUCUGCCGUUCUUGCUUCUUCCGCGUUUAAUGAUUCCAAAUUUAUGCUUUGGAGAGUUUUAGCGUAGCGUUUAUUAGUCUUAUCUGCGACUGGUCUACAGGGACGAGUGAGAGAGGGGAGGAUGUGGGAAGGAUGGUGACGGCCUUUGUCGAUUGCAUAAUCUCCGUAAUCUCGGUCCCGUGUGUGAGGCGUUCUGUUUUCAGUGCGUCGUUAUCUCGUCCUAGGGGAGAUAAGGUCCGCAUACUGGGUUUACUAGCCUCGUUCGAAGAAAUACUUUCGAAGGAGAGAUAAGAAUCUUUUAAAAUUUUAUUAUCUCUGUCCGUGCUCCUAGGUUCUGGAGUUGAUAAGUUACAAAUGUCGACUGUUUCAAAAUCCUGAAGUUCGAUUCUUGGAAUAACGAGGUUUACGUCUUCCUCUUUGGUAUUAAAAAUCCUCAUGAGUGUCUCUCCGUUAUUGUUGCUUACUAAGGUUCGCCUGCGUAAAUUCCUUCUUCCAAAUUUAAUGAAGGCACAUAGCCUAUUUUACUUUUCUUGUCCAAAGUGCCUAUUUUAAUUAUGUUACUGGUUCGCGCCGGUAUGGUUAUCUUCUUCGGCUUGACGAAAGGCCUAGUCAUUAUGCGUGUUCUUUAAUAAAGUUAAUCUUUGCAGUAUCUUUAAAAAAAUCGGAUCCGAUUAUGCCGCCAUGUGGGAUGGGAAAGGAGUCGGGAACAAUAUGGAAUUCUAUGGGGUAUCCAUAAAUGUCGAUGGUGUAAGAGUCGUCUUUAGAAGUGAUGACGACAAAAAGUGAACUCGGAUCGUUAUUUAACCGGACUGUGCGGACAUAGUUGGUUCGUCCGCUCUUACCGUCAUUAUCUGACGCGUUUGCGCGUUUAUCCCCGAAGUCGCUCGACGGAGGGUGGUUCGCGUUUCCCGACUGGCGUUCUUGCCACUUUCUUUUUCGACAUUCGUCCAUUGUAUGUCCGUAAUUUCUGCAGUAUCGACACUCUUUUGGAUUUGUAGGAGACCAGGAAGGGUCCUACAGCAGGAGAAGUGUGAGAUAAUCGAGGAGGAGGAGGAGGAGGAUGAUAUGAUCUAUGGAUAGGAGUACGCUUUUGAGAGUCUUGUGUAUUCCUGUAACAUUUGUUUCACAUAUGUCCUACUCUUUUACAAUACUUGCAGACUUCACACGCAUCGUUAGUCCGUGUCGUUCGUGUGUUCGUUCCUCUCGAUUUUCGCGAUUCGUGAUAGUGGAAAUCAGCUGGUCACUCGCUGUUGUCUUUUGAUUGCCAAAAUUUUGCGGCCUUUCUUCUAUUCCAUUUAUAUUGCAUUCAUUAUUGCAUUAAAGCAAUCGCAUGCAUUCUAGCAUGCGAUUGCUUUAUCGCAUGCUUCUGUUAAACUCCUGCAUUGACUAGCUAGCAUGUAUGGGAAGUAUUCCAUGGGGAAUUCGGCGCAGAAGCUAUGGAGAGUUAGUUCGUCGAUUUCGCGUUUUUCGUUUCGGACGCUUCCUCCCAGUAUUCUUCGUCCAUGAGCGCUUACCCUAUCGAUGUAUUCGAUCAUCGGUUCGCUCUGUCGCAUUAAUAUGUUUCCAAGUUCAGCUCUGUAGAAUUCUUGUGAGUGCAGAGUUCUUAGUGUUUGUCUGAGUCGGUUGCAUAAAGAGUUCAUAUUACGAAUAUCGUGUUUUUCUAUUGCUCGGUAUGUGGAGUCGUGUAAUUUUCAUAUUGCUGCUUUAGUAAAAAGGUCUUUUGAGUAGUCUGGUAUCAUCUGUCGUGCUCUUUUGCAUGUUUUAAUAAACGAGGUGAGAGGCAUAUUUUUCCCGUCAAACGCGGUAUCAUUUCUAAUGCUUCAUUUAUCGAGUGAUGAUCUGAUUUGGAGUGGCUCUCGCUCCUUAUGGCAAGGAUAUCCUGUAUCAUAAACACGAGUGGAUAUAUCUCUAAUUUUGCCGUAGAUGCACGUUCGGUCUCGCGCCUCAUUGCUUCUUAGCGUUCGCGCAUAGCUUGUUCGCGCGCAACUAACUGAGAUUUUAUUUGAGCUAAUUUUUGGUGAGCGUCCUCUAAUUCUUGUUCAUUGAGUCGCCUAAGUCUAGCACUACGCGUUUCUAUUCUUUCGAUGGGUGUAACAAGUUUGUCAGAAUGAGUUGCUUUAUCAGAUGACAUGUUGUAUAAAUCGCGUAUCCCACCGCUGUCAACAGUUUUAUGUUACGUUCCACUUGGCAGGGGCCUUAACCCUUUGCACUCGGCUGUCCCCUCUCGUGGGACAUCGUAAUUCUAGCAUAUCAUUCGGAUAUCCCCUCUCAUGGGACAUUAAAUUUGAUUAGUGAUUACGGCUAAUUGAGUUAUUUCAGCACAACUUUUUGAGACAUGCAUGCUUCCCUGAAGUUUUCUCUUGAAAUGGCACAAGAAAUCAAAUCAAAAUAUAGUAAAAUUACUAAGAUAUACACAAAGAAAUGUCAGCGAGUUUUGUCUUACAAGAACGCGAUAAGAUUGCUCACGAUGAUCCAACCACUUCAAAGGCAUUACUUGAAAAGAGCGAUAUGACAAGAUUUAGAAGAAAGCAAAUAUAGCAUGCACUGUAUAGUGAGAUUUAUAAUCAUUGACCAGUUGAGAGGUGAUUUUCGUGAAUCGAGAACGCGUUCAUUCACAUCUUCUGCGGACAAUAGAUUAGACAAUAAACUACAUAUUCCUGAUGUGGUACAAAUAAAACGAGAUUGUAUUGUUUGUUCUAAUAGGAAAACACCUGGUGACGGGCAUCAAACAACAUAUUAUUGUCAAAUGUGCACUAAUCAGCCGGCAAUGCAUUUUGAGAAGUGUUUUAGAGUUUAUCACUCUAUACAAAAUUAUAAAAAAUAAAACAUUGAUUUUUGUGCAAAUAUACAUUUCUCGAUUUCAACCAAUUCAUAUAAAUGUAAUAUCAUUAUAAUAUGUUAGUUAGUUCCAAAAUUAUAUUAAAUAAUACGAGUGUCUGUAAAUGCACGUUUCUGCCAUAAAGUAGCGUCGAGUAGCUGGUAGCCAACGUCCAGAAUGGUUCCAAGUGCAAAGGGUUAAAAAAAUAUAUAUCUGACCUUCGUGAAAUUUGUGUCCUUUUUGGUCGUUAUCUGCUACGCGCAAUUCGUGGCACGGAACGGACACCUAUAUGAACGGUCUUCCGAUGAGGCGACCUAUUCAGUAGCGUUGACAGGUGGUGGAUGAUGAGGGAUUUCUCGGAUAUUUUUCGUCCGGGGAUCGGACGGUGAUAAGUUACUUGGGCUGUUGAUUCUCUCUUCUACUGUGAUAUGUACGAGACAAUAAGAAACUGCCUUGUGUAUGUUGAUCUCCUUUGGAAGAAUUCCCAAAUCCGAGUGAUGGCGAACCAGAUCGUAAAACGAUGCGAGUAACCGGCGUAAAUGAUACUUCCUAUUACCACGUCGUGUUCUCGGCAUAAACUUUUUUAUUAUGUAAAGGAUGUGAUUACAAUGACUCGUGCGAUUCGUACGCACCUGUAGUUAUCGGGUAAUUGAUGUGGUUACGAUAACUCAUGCGAUUCGUACGCACCUCUAGUUAUCGGGUAAUGGAUGUGUCAUAUAAUUGUAUUAGUUACUUAUGCAAAUAAGAUUCUUAAUUUGUACGUUUCUUUGUAAUAAUGUUUGAAAACUCUUUUGUAUAAUACAUAAUACGUAAGGUUUAA